rnacentral:misc_RNA from 1 species
GUAUAUCGUUUGGCUAAAGGAAAGCUUGAUUCUUCUCAGGAGAAGAAUCUCACAUGCUCAACUGAUCUAUCUUCUGGACCUGAGAAUGAUUUUGUUGAGCUAGUAUGGGAAAAUGGUCAAAUUCAGUCCAGUAAGACUAGAAAGAUCCAAUUCUCUGGUAGUUUUCCAUCUCAAACCUCCAAGAUUAGAGAUAAACACGUAGGUAAUGGCAGCAACACUAAAAUGGGAAGAUUUGGGGCCAUGGACUCUGUAGUAGGUGAAGUUCCAAUGUCUGUGCCGUCUGUUGAAAUGGGUUUGAAUCCAGAUGAUGACAUGGUACCUUGGUUGAAUUAUCCAAUUGAAGACCCUCUACAACAUGAUUACUGUGCUGAGUUUUUAACAGAAUUAUCUGGUGUUACUGUAAAUGAAGACUCUCAGACUAAUUAUGCCUCAAUGGAAAAGAGAAAUUGUGGUAAUCAAUCAGUUAGAGACCCCCGUGCUGCUUCUGUACAUAAUUGUUUGAGUUUAGAGCAAGGGCACAUGACAAAGGUUUCUUCAAAAGGGGAUGUUGAUGCUAAUAGACCUAGAACUAGUUCCAGUCAGUUAAAUCCAUCACCAUCACAGCAAUGCCAAACAUCAUUUCCCUAUUUUAGAUCCAUAGUUUCAGCUAAUAAUAGUGAGAAUAUUAACAAUCUGUCUCGCCAUGCUGCUUCUGGGGAUUCAAUAGGAGUUCCACCUUCAGGAGGUGGUUUUCCU